UACGGAAGGUGCAAGCGUUACUCGGAAUUACUGGGCGUAAAGCGUCUGCAGGCGUCUGUGAAAGUCCGGCAUAAAAGUUCGGAGCUCAACUCCGUGAUGUGUUGGAAACUUCUCAGAUUGAGUCAUUCAGAGGCAUCUGGAAUGUCGUGUGUAGGGGUAAAAUCCGUAGAUACACGAUGGAACGCCAAAAGCGAAGGCAGGAUGCUGGGAAUGUACUGACGCUCAGAGACGAAAGCGUGGGGAGCAAAGGGG
rnacentral:misc_RNA from 1 species